UUUAAAGCAACUAAGGGCACAUGGCGGAUGCCUAGGGUCUGAGAGGCGAUGAAGGACGUGGUAAGCUGCGAUAAGCUAAGGGGAGCUGCACACAAGCGUUAUAUCCUUAGAUUUCCGAAUGGGACAACCUAACAUACUGAAGGUAUGUUACUCGAAAGAGAGCCAACCCCGAGAACUGAAACAUCUAAGUACCGGGAGGAAAAGAAAAUAACAAUGAUUCCCUGAGUAGUGGCGAGCGAAAAGGGAAGAGCCUAAACCGAAUCGGCGUGCCGAUUCGGGGUUGUAGGACUGCAUUUAGAAGUGAUCAUCAAACUGAACCCUCUGGAAAGUGGGGCCAUAGCAGGUGAUAGCCCUGUAAGUACAAAUUGAUCAGGACGAGCAGUAUCCUGAGUAAGGCGGGACCGGAGGAAUCCUGCCCGAAUCCACCAGCACCAUCUGGUAAGGCUAAAUACUCCUCAGACACCGAUAGUGAACCAGUACCGUAAGGGAAAGGUGAAAAGCACCCUGAACAAGGGAGUGAAAUAGUACCUGAAACCGUGUGCCUACAAGCGGUCGGAGCAGCGCAAGCUGUGACGGCGUGCCUUUUGCAUAAUGAACCUACGAGUUGCUCCUAACUGGCGAGGUUAAGUUCUUAUUUAACGGAGCCGAAGCGAAAGCGAGUCCAAAUAGGGCGGUUAGUCAGUUGGGGCAGACGCGAAACUUUGUGAUCUAUCCAUGGGCAGGUUGAAGGUGUGGUAACACACACUGGAGGACCGAACCCGUUGACGUUGAAAAGUCUUGGGAUGACCUGUGGAUAGGGGUGAAAGGCCAAUCAAACUGAGAGAUAGCUCGUUCUCCCCGAAAUGUUUUUAGGAACAGCCUCGGAUUCUGAAGUAUGUUAGAGGUAGAGCUACUGAUUGGGCUAGGGGGCUUCACCGCCUACCAAACCCUGACAAACUCCGAAUGCUAACAUAUAUCUCCGGGAGUGAGGCUGCGGGCGCUAAGGUCCGUGGCCGAGAGGGAAAUAACCCAGAUUAGCAACUAAGGUCCCUAAUACGUAGUUAAGUUGAACAAACGAGGUGGGGCUUCUAUAACAGCCAGGAUGUUUGCUUGGAAGCAGCAAUUCAUUUAAAGAGUGCGUAACAGCUCACUGGUCGAGAGGCCCUGCACGGAAAAUGAUCGGGCAUCAAACUACGAACCGAAGUUCUAAAUUCUAGCUUGCUAGAGUGGUAGGGGAGCAUUGAAAUCUGCAUCGAAGGUGUACGGCGACGUAUGCUGGAGCGAUUUCAAAAGAAAAUGUAGGUAUAAGUAACGAUAAAUGGAGUGAAAAACUCCAUCGCCGUAAGUCUAAGGUUUCCUGAUCAACGUUAAUCGGAUCAGGGUUAGUCCGGUACUUAGGCAAACCCGAAAGGGGUAGCUGAUGUCAAGCAGGUUAAUAUUCCUGCACCUGCUAUACAAUGAAAGUGACGCAGAGACGUGGUGGUUGCGUACUGACGGAAUAGUGCGCUGAGUGGAGUCUUCGGACGAAGCGAAACCAUAAAAUCUCUGCCAAGAAAAGCGAGUAUAGCAGCCGGUACCGCAAACCGACACAGGUAGACGGGAUGAAUAUUCUAAGGCGCUCGGGUGAGCCGUGGAGAAGGAACUAGGCAAAUUGUGGCUGUAACUUCGGGAUAAAGCCAACCACCUUCUGGGUGGUCUCAGUAAAAUGGUUCAACCAACUGUUUAACAAAAACACAGGGCCCUGCAAAAUCGUAAGAUGACGUAUAGAGCCUGAAACCUGCCCGGUGCUGGAAGGUUAAGGAAGGGUGUUCGACGCAAGUCAAAGCUCCUGACUGAAGCCCCAGUAAACGGCGGCCGUAACUAUAACGGUCCUAAGGUAGCGAAAUUCCUUGUCGGGUAAGUUCCGACCUGCACGAAUGGUCUAAUGAGUUGAACACUGUCUCCUCCACGAGCCCGG
rnacentral:rRNA from 1 species